rnacentral:lncRNA from 1 species
GAUUUUUUGGCCAACUAAACCAUACCUUCCAAUCAAACAUUUAAUUUAAAUCCAACCAAAACAAAAUGAAAACAAUUAAAAAUAGUACAUUAUGACCAGAAGAAGAAGAUGACAAAACAGUGUGCUGAGAACCAUUCGACAAAGCAGCUCCAAACCAAUGAACAGUGUUGAGAAUGUUGUCUCUUGGGUUGUUAAUAUUGAAGCAUAGUAUUAAUACAUCAACACUUUCAUUUGAACACCUUUACCAUUCAACAUCCUCAUCUCGUUCUUGGCUCUUCCUAGACACAAACCCAAUUUUCAACAAAAUGUUAAGUUUGCAGGUUUUAUGUAUAAUCCUCAUUUACAUCUUUUUUUUUUAAAAAAAUGUCUUGUUUUUAAUAGUACUCAAUAUAUGUAUUACUAAAAAAUCGCAAUGUGCUGUCUAUGAAAUGUUUUUUAAGUUGAAUAAUUAAGAGAAAACACAACAUUGAGAAAAGGUUUGGAUCUAAUUAAUCGAAUCCUUUUAUAUACAUUACCUUUGGUAUACUUCCUUGAUUUGAUUUUGACAUAAAUUUCAUCAUUCUUUUAAAAAAAUUUAUGUGCGUCUUCGUCGUCUUCAUCUUUGUCCAUGUUGCUGGGUAUUUCUCUAAC